rnacentral:rRNA from 1 species
GACGAACGCUGGCGGCGUGCUUAACACAUGCAAGUCGAACGGAAAGGCCUGCUUUCCCUUGUGGAUUGCGGGUACUCGAGUGGCGAACGGGUGAGUAACACGUGAGUGAUCUGCCCCCAACUUGGGUAUAAGCCUGGGAAACUGGGUCUAAUUCCCGAUAGGACUGCAGGGUGGUGCCUGUGGUGGAAAACGAUUUUCUAGUGGUUGGGGAUGAGCUCGCGGCCUAUCAGCUUGUUGGUGGGGUAAUGGCCUACCAAGGCGGCGACGGGUAGCCGGCCUGGGAGGGUGGACGGCGACAUUGGGACUGGGAUACGGCCCAGACUCCUACGGGAGGCAGCAGUGGGGAAUAUUGCACAGUGGGCGGAAGGCUGAUGCAGCGACGCCGCGUGGGGGAUGACGGGCUUCGGGUUGUAAGCUCCUUGCGACCGCGAGGAAGCCACCUGGUUGGAAGGGUGGUGACGGUAGUGGUAGAAGAAGCACCGGCUAACUACGUG